GCGCGGCCGGCGUGGGGCGGGGCCGGGGCCGGGUGCGUCGGGAGCUAGGAAGAGGCGGCCGCAGACUUUCCGCUCGGCCCCACGGUCGCAGGCGCGCGCCGGCCGGCUGGCCGCUCGGGUCGGUGGGCGGCUGCUCGGUGUCCGCUCCCCUGCGCCCGGCGGCUGUUCGGGGCACUUCCAGGCACGAAGUAAGUCCGCCAUGUGGAAGGCUGGUGUACAAAGGAAGCGGAUUCAGAUUCUGAGCCAGCAGAGCCGUACACAGACUUGCUCAAACCGUGAACCUGGUUGAUGGCCCCUCCACGUGCAUUGUACAUCUGCUUUGUGAAGAAGUCGCCUAAAGGAAAACCGACUUGUCCUUGAGAUGCCCAUCAAUGCCCCCUGCGUUCCUUGAAGCUAACCCUAACCCUAAAACUCAUGAAUCCUGCCAGUAUGUUAACCUGUGUGUUUGCAUCAGCAUUUCCUGUUGUAGUCAGCAGGAUUCAGAGCAACUCUGUGGGAAGAGCCGCGUGUUGUCUGGCAACUGGCUCUCGGUGCCCGCCCAGGACCGCUGUGCCGGUCCAGCUUCUCAGCACCUCAGGGGCGUGUCGCAUUUACUUACUCAUUUGAGAGAAUGAAAGAGAGAAUGAGAGCAGGGGGUGAGGGAGACAGUCUCAAGCAGACUCCCAUCUGAGCGCGGAGCCGAAUGGGCAGAUCCUUCCCUGAGAUUGUGACCUGAGCUGGAGCCAAGAGUCAGAUGCCCAACAGACUGAGUCCCCCAGAUGCCACCCUGGGCAGACCUGGAAAACAUGGAUUUCUCUGCAGGGUCGGGGCCUGCCCACUGACUGGGGAGCUGGCCAAAUGCGGCACCUGGGAGCCCAUGGUGUGGCCAGUCUGCAGGGUGAGUGACUGUCGCCAGUUGAGAGCUGCCAUGUCAGAAAGUUUCAGAGGACGGUUUCCUGCUACCUGGAGGUUAUACGCACAGAGGUGGACUCUUAAUGUGGUGGAAGUUUUUCAGUUUUGGCUGCUACAUCUGCCUAAAUUAUGUUCCUGUAUUAGAAAAAUGCACAUAUUUCAUGCAGUGAAAUGCUGUAAAUACAUGCAUUGCUUUUCUGCACA